rnacentral:lncRNA from 1 species
CCACACUUCACUUCCCAAUUCUUCAGGCUCCAGUCAUGAGCUGUAACACACCUACGAUAAAAUCACAAAGUUCGAAAGGAAAAAGAAGACAGAAUUCAGCAAGAAGUUAAAAUUAAAGUAUAGUCUUCAAGGCCUGAAGAUGUGGAUCAGAGAAGAAAGCAGCGUACGGCUCUUUUCUCAACAAAACCAGACGCUAAAUGAACCACGAAGCUACUUUCGUCCCUCUCACCAUGUCCGUCACUCUGGGAGACACAUCCACAACCACACUUGGCCGAGCAGCUCACAAGCCUGGCCUCAGGAGAACACGGCACCAUCCUGUUACUUCACCUUCGUCAGUAGAGCUGUGCUGUGGAACAGAGGACUCCACCAACACAAGGUUCCCGUCAUUCCUCCCGGUCUCCCCAGCAACAGUCCCCAAGGAGCUGGUGGGUUGGGACUUUGAGGACAUUGCUAAAGACCCAGGAGCCAAUGGAGUGCUGACUACAGCCCACAGAAACUAUAACAGACAGGUGGGCAAACACUACUCUCCAUAGCGUGAGUUAUGAUACAGUUUGGUGGACUACUGUAGAGCCAGCUGCAA